rnacentral:lncRNA from 12 species
CUAAUAACUACUAAAAAGUGUUUUAAAAAACUCUUGCUGAUAUUAAGAACACCAAUCUCUAUUCUCUCCACAGAACCUAUAAAACCACACCACACAUAAAAGAAGGAAUGCCAUAUGUGACUCUCUUCUCGUCAGCACUGCUAAUCAUGAGGAUAAUCACCAAGAAUUACAAGCCACAGAUAGAGCUCUGCCGACUAAAACUGUCACAUGGAUGGAUGAAUCCAAGGUCUUAACUACCAGUUGGAGGAUGAAGAAAUGAGGUAGUCCAGCCACGGCCACAAAUAUCAGUUAAAAAACGAAGCUGGUAUUUUAUACUCCAGUUGUGUGUCUCAUAAAUCAUAUUUCACAACAGAGUAGUGUUCGGGAUAGGCAGAAAAUGUAAGAUUAUCAGCCUUAAAUCACAAAUCCUUGCCCUCCUCUAACUCCUUUCUCCAAUCUUUA